UACGUAGGGUGCGAGCGUUGUCCGGAAUUAUUGGGCGUAAAGGGCUCGUCGGCGGUUUGUCGCGUCGGGAGUGAAAUCCACUGGCUUAACUGGUGGCUUGCUUUCGAUACGGGCAGACUGGGGGUAUGCAGGGGAGAACGGAAUUCCUGGUGUAGCGGUGAAAUGCGCAGAUAUCAGGAGGAACACCGGUGGCGAAGGCGGUGCUCUGGGCAUGUCCUGACGCUGAGGAGCGAAAGUGUGGGGAGCGAACAGG
rnacentral:rRNA from 1 species